rnacentral:sRNA from 1 species
ACCUGCGGAGGGAUCAUUGCUGGAACGCGCCCCAGGCGCACCCAGAAACCCUUUGUGAACUUAUACCUUACUGUUGCCUCGGCGCUAGCUGGUCCUUCGGGGCCCCUCACCCUCGGGUGUUGAGACAGCCCGCCGGCGGCCAACCCAACUCUUGUUUUUACACUGAAACUCUGAGAAUAAAACAUAAAUGAAUCAAAACUUUCAACAACGGAUCUCUUGGUUCUGGCAUCGAUGAAGAACGCAGCGAAAUGCGAUAAGUAAUGUGAAUUGCAGAAUUCAGUGAAUCAUCGAAUCUUUGAACGCACAUUGCGCCCUCUGGUAUUCCGGAGGGCAUGCCUGUUCGAGCGUCAUUUCAACCCUCAAGCCUGGCUUGGUGAUGGGGCACUGCUUUUACCCAAGAGCAGGCCCUGAAAUUCAGUGGCGAGCUCGCCAGGACCCCGAGCGCAGUAGUUAAACCCUCGCUCUGGAAGGCCCUGGCGGUGCCCUGCCGUUAAACCCCCAACUUCUGAAAAUUUGACCUCGGAUCAGGUAGGAAUACCCGCUGAACUUAAGCAUAUCAAUAAG